GUCACCUUGUGUGUCUGUAACAAGGCCAAACAUUCAAGGGUGCGCAAUGAAUACAGGAAGUGGUUGGGCUGUACUUCCAAUGCCUUUGUUCAAGACUCUAUGAAAGAAACACCUACUGUCUCUGAAGACCUAAACAAGGCUGAUGAACAAAGACAAAAGAAAGGAACAACAUGAUGAGUUUCCAUCAGACCUUCAUUUCUACACAUUGGGUCUCCACUGUAUGUCUUCCAAUGCACAGUGUACACACUAGAUAUCAGACAGAGUAAAAGAGAGAGGGAGAGAUGGAUAGAGUGGGAUGCAGAGAGAGAGAGAGAGAGAGAGAGAGAGAAUGAAUGAGAAGGUGUGAUAAACAGCUUUCCCCCCUGAUCUCCAGGGCGUUUUUGCUUUAACUUGAAGUUGGCACACCUGAGUCAAUGAAUCCACUUAUCAUCAAGACUAUGACUAAGGGAAUUAGGUGGGCCAGUUUAAAGUCGAAGCCAAAGAUAUGAAAAAAAUGGGAUUGAUUGUAUUGACUUUCAGAUACAUCGUGACUUACUAUAUUGUCCUUUGUUCCCAGCGAUGUUUUAUUAUCCUGCAA
ensembl:lncRNA